rnacentral:rRNA from 1 species
UACAGAGGGUGCAAGCGUUGUUCGGAAUUACUGGGCGUAAAGGGCGCGUAGGCGGCGCUCCAAGUUAGGCGUGAAAGUCCUGGGCUCAACCUGGGAACUGCGCUUAAGACUGGAGUGCUUGAGGAUGGAAGAGGGUCGUGGAAUUCCCAGUGUAGAGGUGAAAUUCGUAGAUAUUGGGAAGAACACCGGUGGCGAAGGCGGCGACCUGGUCCAUUACUGACGCUGAGGCGCGACAGCGUGGGGAGCAAACAGG